rnacentral:lncRNA from 1 species
ACUGCUCCUUAAGCUCCUUCAACUCUGCUGGUGCUAUCCUAUAGGGAGGGAUAGAGAUUGGUCUGGUUCCAGGCAUCAAUUCUAUUUCAAACUCUAUCUCCCUAGCAGGUGGUAGUCUUGGAAGCUCGUCUGGGAAGACAUCUGGAAAUUCUUUGACAACGGGCACUGAGGCGGGCUCCCUAACCUGACUAUUACGCUCUCUCACAUGAGCCAAAUACCCCUGACAUCCCCUCCUAAGCAACCUACGAGCCUAUAGGGCUGAUAUCAGACCUCUAGGUGUACCCCUCUUGUCUCCUCUGAAGACGACCUCUGACCCAUCCUGACCUCUGAACCUGACUACCUUGUCUCUGUAGUCCAAAGUACCACCAUGGAUAGAUAGCCAAUCCAUCCCUAUAAUGACGUCAAAAUCUGUCAAAUCUAAAACCAUUAGGUCGGCUGAAAGGCAUCUAUCCUCGACAAACACUGGACUAAACCGGCAGACUGACUCUGCCACUGAUGGAUCACACUUGGGUCCACUGACCCAAAGGGGACACUCUAAUCUAGAGACCAUUAAACCCAACCACUCUACUGCUCUCGGGGCAACAAAAGAAUGAGAUGCAUCAGGGUCCAUUAAAGCAUACACAUCUGAACAACCAAUGAUGAGAUUACCUGACACCACGGUGUUGGAUGCGUUCGCCUCCUGUUGUGUCAUAGUGAAGAUUCUAGCUGGAGUUGUGGGACCUUCACCCCGGGAACCUGAAGAAGAGGCUGCCCCUCUCCCUCUGCCUCUGCUACUGCCCUGAGUCACGAUUGGAGCUACUGGCUGUGCCACACUACCUGAAGUUGUCUGCUGGGACUGUGCCAUAAAAGGUGCCCUAGGACACUCCCGAGCCAUGUGUCCCUCCUGCCCACAUCUGAAGCAGGCGGUCGUCCCAUACCGACAGACUCAUUUGUGUGGCUUACCACACUUCAUACAAGUAGGACUGCCUGAGCUAGAGCUUGAGCCACCUCCCAUUCCCAUAUCAGACUUUAUCUUGUUCCAGAACUUGCUCUUCUUGGACUUGGAUCUGUCCAUCUUUACACUGCUCGGAGUCUUGGAACCUAAAGGCUGUGCCACAGACUGUUUAACUAUCUCUUCGAUUAUUGCACUAGCCUCCAUCUUCCGGGCCAUAUCCACUAUAGCAUGGAAACUCUCCAGCUCUACUGAUUGGAUCAAAGAGGAAUACCUGGAGUGAAGCUUUAUGAUAUACCUCCUAGCUUUCUUCAGAUCUGUGUCGAAAGCUUGCCCUGCAAACGGCAACAGCUCCAGGAAUCUAUCAGUGUAUUCAUCUACACUCAUCUCCUCCGUCUGCCUUAGCUGCUCAAACUCAAUCAUCUUCAGCUCCCUGGAGCUAUCAGGGAAAGCCCAUCCUGCAAAUUCAUUUGCAAAUUCCUCCCAGGAUAGACUAUCCACCCUCGGGUCCACAUAGCUCUUGAAACAAUCCUUGGCCUUCUUACAUUUGAGUGUGAAUCCCGCCAUCUGAAUGGCUCUACUAUCACUUGCUCCCAACUCGUCGGUUAUCAUUUUCACCAUUUUGAGGUACUCAAACGGAUCAUCCCCCGUCUGAAACUUGGGAGCAUCCAGCUUAAGGUAAUCAGUCAUCUUCACCUUGUCCCCCCUAGAUGAGCUAGGCUUAGGCAUUUGGAUAUUACGGGUAGCUGGCUCUGCUGGUGGAGGAGAAGGUGCCACAUUCCCUAAGGUAGGGUUUGCUGGAUUUGGAUAGAAAGGUGGGGGUUGAUACAUGGGAUACUGAUCGUAUGGUGGGUAAAAGGGAGGGUAAGGCAUGUAGGAAGGGUAGGGGUUAAAGCUAGAGAAAUCCGAUGUACCUCCCAUCAGAUACCCUGAGCCCUGAGGAAAGGGUGGAUAUUGGGGUGGAUAACCAAACCCCGAGGCCUGAGUGCCUCAUUGUGACUCCCCCGAACCCUCCUCAGACAUGCUUACUCCCAAGCUUCCAUCUCUCCUCUGGUCAACAUCCAUCUCUUCCCGCACGUCAACUAAACUCCCACCUUGAUCUGUACCCCGUCUACUAGCAUCAAAAGACCUUCUAGGGUCCCUUACUGAUCUUUCUCUAUUAGGUCUGCAUGACAUUGCCCUUGGCAAUGCAGGAGGACAGGCAUCCAUGCACUCAUUCUCUGGUGGUACUCCAGUCAAUCGUGCAGAUCGACGAGUGCCUCUCAUCUUGCUUACGGAAAAACAACACCCAUCACAUAAAACAUUAGGAUCAAAUGGUUCAUGUGGAAACACAUGAACCCGCAUCACAUACAUAGCAUAACAUUAAUGCACAUGCAUAAAUCAUGGCAUUUCACAUCAUCAUUCAAGACAGGACUCCACAUCCUAUCCUAGUGGACAUGAUUUUUCCUAUUGUGCUUGCCCUUCUAUCACAUCUAUGAGCCCUACACACUCUAGGUCCGACCAUAUGAACCUAGGGCUCUGAUACCAAUCUGUGACGACUCGGAAACCAGACCGCUACCGGCGCUAGGAUCCAGGUCGGCUUAAGUCCGCCGGGACCCGUAGCAAGCCUCUUAUACCUGCUAUAUACCUGAUAACAUCCCAUACAUGAUCAUACAUUUUCAUAAAAAUUUAAAAACCUUCCAUAUUCCAAGCCUGACCUGUGCAUGCACUAAAAUGAUAAUCAUAAAAUCCCAAACUAGAGCCCUCAUCAAAUGCUCUAGUGGGUUAUCAUAACAUACAUCAAGCUUGGACUAUCAUUUCUCAUCAUAAAAACAUUUCAGUAAAAGAUCAUGUACAAGGGAACUAACAUUACUAUUCGGGGCAAGCACAAUACUAAACCAUAAAACAUUCUCUACAUUAUAUUACAUAAAAUCAUUUUACAAUACAUGUCCACUCUAACUAUUACACUUAACUUGACUUCAACCUUGAAGACUCCCCGGUCUAUCCUGAACCUGCAAGUCUGGGGGUUAAGGGAAAGGGGGUGAGCUAAAAAGCCCAGUGAGCAGAACAAAAGAACAUAUAUGUAAAUUAUGCUUUCAUGAAAUGCAUCACAACACAUACAAUUCACAUCACGGAUGGACUUGUCACCAAUAACCCUCUACAUAUCCAAUGUGCCCGACCCUCGAUGGAGUUCCUCAGGACUUCCUCUUAAUCAUCACACAAUGUCAAGACGCAUGGACAUGGGCAGCCCUGGACUUUCAUAAAUCAUACAUAACAAAUGCCAGGAUGCGUGGACAUGGGCAGCCUUGGACUUUCAUUAAUCAUCAUAUCACAUUGAGGGCUAAUGGUUCAUCCAACAUCCAUCCACAUCAACAACAUAUUAUGCAAUGCAACUUAUUCAUGAGAUUCUAAUGCAACAACCUAAAAUAUAUCAUGGCAUUCGUGAUGCAUAAACAUGCUCAAAACUUUAUAUUUUAAAACAUAGUUCAGUUCUACUCACCUCUGGCUGACUCUGAACAGACUCUGAACAGACUUUGAAGCAGCUAUAUCACUGCUGGGCUCCUCGGUUCCUCGGGUCCGAUCCUACACAGGUGGACUCGAAUGAGGUGCCAAACAUACACUAACAUGACUCUAAACAACUCCCCAAAAACCCCCUAAAACAUCAUAAAACAAUCAUAGAAAAUGUGCAAAGGAAGGCUAGACAGGGCACUUUCGGCGGCAGGUUCGGCAGCCGAAAGUCCCUCCAGAGCCGAAACUCAGCCACUUUCGGCUGUAGGUUCGACGGCCGAAAGUGGUUCCAUAGCCGAAACUUGCCAACCUUCGGGGGCAGGUUCGGCGGCUGAAACUCCCCUCCAGAGCUGAAAGUCCAGACUUUCGGGGGCAGGGUUCGGCAGUCAGAACUACCUCCCUAGGCAGGUUCGGCGACCGAACAUGGUUUCGACUGCCGAACCCGAGUUCUUCUAGAAUGGCAGAACUCAGCCUCUCAUGCACAUUUUGCCUCCCAAAUCUUCCAAACUCAUACCACAACAUGCAUAAACACAAAUAUAAGCAUAUAGGGGUCCACAGCUAACUAUUACAUACAACUUAACUUUACUCUUGUUGACUUCCUGAUCUAUCCCGUACCUGCAAACCUAGGGUAUUAAGGGAAUGGGGUGAGCUACUAGAGCCCAGUGAGCAGAAUAAUAAAACAUUAUAUUUAAAGUUCAUGCUUUCAUGGAAUGCAUCACAUCACAGACAAAUCACCUUAAGGAUGAACUUGUCACUAAUAGCCCUCUACAUUUCCAAUAGUGCCAGAACGUAGAAUGGGUCCUGGUUUUUCCCUUACAUAACAUAUCAUACAUUCCAAGGUGCCAGGGACGUAGAAUGGGUCUUCCUGGACUUCCAUACCAUAUCAUCAUCAUAUCAUAUCAUACCAUACGAGGGCUAAUGGAUCGUUCAACGUUCAUCCACAUCAACAACAUAAUAUGCAAUGCAACAUAUUCGUGAAUUCUAAUGCAAACAACCUAAUAUAUCUCAUGGCAUUCAUGAUGCGCGAAUCAUGCUAAAACUUUCAUUAUUUGCUUUGAAACAUAAAGAGUCAUUCUACUCACCUCAGGCUAGCUCUGAAAAGACACUGAAGCAGCUGUCUCACUGCUGGGGGUCCCUGGUUCCUCAGGUCCGAACCUACACAGGUGGACUCAAAUGAGGGACCAAACAUACAUGAACAUGACUCUAAAAUACUCCCCAAAAAGACCCCCUAAAACACCUUAAAACAAUCAUAGAAAUCAUGCAAAGGAAGGCUGAACAGGGCACUUUCGGCGGCAGGUUCAGCGGCCGAAAGUCCCUCUAGAGCCGAAAGUCAUGCACCUUCGGUGGCACUUUCGGCGGCCGAAGGUUCCUUCCAGAUCCGAAACUCGUGCAUGUUGGGCGGCAUCUUCGGCGGCCGAAACUCCCUUCUAGAGCCGAAAGUCCACUUUCGGGGGCAGGGUUCGGCAGCCAAAAGUUUGCCUCCACAGGCAGGUUCGGCGGCCGAAAGUCCUUCGGCUGCCGAACCUGAGUUCUUCCAAAGGGCAGAACUCAGCCUCCUCAUGCACAUUUUUGCCUCCCAAACCAUUCAAACAUGCAUUUAGCUAUUCUACAACAUGCAUACACAAGCAAAUAAGCAUUUAGGGGUCUCAAACUAUCCUAAACCCCAACACAAACACAUAAAGCAACUCAAACAACAUACAUUACCCAAAAACUCAACAUUUACCCUAACAACAAACAACUAGCUUACACAUGCAUUUCUACCCCAUAAACUUUCAUAAAACUUGUUUAAAACAUUAAAUGAGCUAAAGAUCUACUCUUACCUCUUGAAGAUCGAGAGGGGAGGUGAUCUAAACUUGGAGAUGGGAGAAAUCUAGCUCCUUGGGUCUCUAAGCUCCAAAACUUAAUCUUAGCUCCAAAACUCUUCAAAACCAAGUUAGAACUCAUUAAAACUUGAAAGAUUUGAGGAAAAUCAUCAAAACCAACCAUGGGAGAGCAUGGACUCACCGUUGGCCGAAAAUAGGGGAGAAAGCUCACCCGUUUUCGGCCAUGGGGCCUUUUAUAGGGGCUGGCCAGACCACCUUCGGAAGCCUAAAGUGCCUCCAAAACUCAUGCAAGUUCGGCGGCCGAACCUGGGCCACUUUUGGAAGCCUAACUUGCCCCCCGAAACUAUCCCAUGUUCGGCGGCCGAAAUUAAGGUUCGGUGGCCGAACCUGGAAAUGCCUCCAUUGUCUUUUUCAUUCAAAAUUCAGUUUCUUUCUUACUUAAAACCAUAUAACACAUGAAAACAUUUUAUAAAAACAUGACUUUACCCUUCUAGAGGUUUCUGACAUCCGAGAUUCCACUGGACAGUAGGAAUUCCGAUAUCGGAGUCUAGCCGGGUAUUACAUUCUCCCCCCCUUAAGAACAUUCGUCCCCGAAUGUUUACCAAACAAGCAUACAUAGCAUAAAACAUAAACAUACAUACAAAACACAUAACUCUUACCUUAAAAGAGAUGAGGAUAUUGCUAGAGCAUGGACUCCCGUGUCUCCCAGGUACACUCUUCGAUGUUGUGGUGAUUUCAAAUGAGUUUUACCAUCGGGAUUUCCUUGUUUCUUAGCUUUCUGAUCUGGGUGUCUAGGAUCCGCACCGGCUGCUCAACAUAGGUGAGGUCUCCAAGGAUCUCCACAUCAGGCUCACUAUGAACCUUGCCCGGAUUUGACACGAACUUCUGUAACAUGGAAACAUGGAAAACCGGAUGGAUUCUCUCCAUUGAAGCAGGUAAGUCCAACUUGUACGAUACAUUCCCAAUCUUUUGCAAUAUUUCAAAGGGUCCGAUGUACCGUGGAGCUAGCUUACCUUUCUUCCUGAACCGAAUCACCCCUUUCAUCGGAGACAGUUUGAGUAAUACUAAAUCCCCCUCUUAAAACUCUACUUGCCUUCUGCGGACAUCUGCAUAACUCUUUUGCCUGCUUACAGCAGUCUUGAUCCUUUCUCUGAUUAUGGGCACCACUCUGCUGGUGAUCUCUACUAACUCAGGCCUUGCCAAGGCCCUUUCUCCAACUUCUUCCCAACAGACAGGUGACCUGCACUUCCUUCAAUACAAAGCUUCAUAUGGAGCCAUCCCUAUACUAGCAUGAUGGCUGUUAUUGUAGGCAAACUCCACCAAAGGUAGAUGCUGCCUCUAAGAACCGCCAAAAUCUAGCACACACGUUCUGAGCAUAUCUUCUAUAGUCUGGAUGGUCCUCUCUGACUGUCCAUCAGUCUGAGGAUGGAAAGCGGUGCUAAAAUCCAACCUGGUACCCAUAGCGUUCUACAGACUCUGCCAAAACCUGGAGGUGAACUGGGGUCCUCUAUCAGACACUAUUGAAACAGGAGCCCCAUGCAGCCUGACAACUUCAUCAACAAACACCUGCGCCAAUUUAUCCACAGAAUAGCCACUCCUGACAGGGAUGAAGUUAGCAUAUUUGGUCAGUCUGUCCACAAUCACCCAUAUGGAGUCUAAUCUGUUGGAUGUUGCCGAUAACCCCACCACGAAGUCCAUAGUUAUAUUCUCCCAUUUCCACUCUGGAAUCGGUAGUGGGUUAAGAAUUACAGCCGGCUUCUGAUGUUCCAGCUUCACCCUCUAACAUACCUCGCAGGCUGACACGAACUGUGCCACUUCUCUUUUCAGAGCUGGCCACCAAUAAACUCUUUUUCAGAUCCUGAUACAUUUUGGUGGCUUUAGGGUGAACGCUGUAUCUAGCAUUAUGAGCUUCCCUCAUAAUGUCUCCCUUCAGACCUACGUCAUCUGGUACAUACAAUCUAUUCCCAUAGCGGAGGAUCCCCUUGCUGUUGAAUCUGAACUCUUCAUUCUUGCUUGACUGAACAGUCCUGGCAAUCUUCACUAACUCUGGGUCCUCGUGCUGUUUCUGAGCCACCUGCUCCAGAAACACAGGCGUCACUCGCAUUUGGGCUAUCAAAGCACCUGUACCAGAUAACUCCAACUGUAGACCUUCGUUAAUGAGCUUAUGAAACUCUUUCACCACCGGUCUCCUCUCUGCUGUGAUAUGGGAUAGACUGUCGAGUGAUUUCCGGCUUAAGGCGUCUGCCACAACAUUCACCUUACGCGGAUGGUACUGAAUCUUGCAAUCAUAGUCACUAAACAGUUCUACCCAUCUUCUCUGUCUCAAGUUCAACUCUCUCUGACUCAGGAUGUACUGCAGGCUUUUAUGAUCUGUGAAGAUCUCACAUUUAACCCCAUAAAGGUAAUGCCUCCACAUCUUGAGUGCAAAGAUCACAGCUGCCAUCUCCAGGUCAUGUGUAGGAUAAUUCAACUCAUGCUUCUUCAGCUGCCUAGAAGCAUAAGCAAUUACCCUUUCAUUCUGCAUCAACACACAACCCAGUCCCACACGGGACGCAUCACAAGACACUGUGAAGUCUUCAUUAUUAGUAGGCAGAGCUAAAACCGGUGCCGACGUCAACCUUUUCUUCAGCUCUUCGAAGCUCUCCUCACACUUGUCAGUCCACACAAACCUCUGAUUCUUCUUAGUCAGUCGGGUCAUAGGAGCUGCAAUCUUAGAGAAGUCCUGAACGAACAUCCUUUAGUAACCUGCCAAACCCAAAAAGCUUUUGAUCUCUGUCACUGUAGUGGGUCUAGGCCAGUUAGCUACAGCUUCCACCUUCUUGGGGUCCACUUCUAUUCCAUUUUCUGAUACAACAUGCCCCAAGAAGGAAAUGCUCCUCAACCAGAACUCACACUUGGAGAACUUGGCAUACAAGCCGUGUUCCCUCAAGGUCUGCAAGACUAACCUCAGAUGAUGGGCAUGCUCCUCUGCAUUCCUGGAAUACACUAAGAUAUCAUCUAUGAAGACAAUAAUGAAAUGAUCCAGAUACUGACUGAAAACUCUGUUCAUGAGGUCCAUGAAUGCUGCAGGGGCAUUGGUUAACCCGAAUGGCAUCACAAGGAACUCAUAGUGCCCAUAUCUGGUUCUGAACGCCGUCUUCGGCACAUCCUCUUCUCUUAUCCUCAGCUGAUGGUACCCGGAUCUCAGAUCUAUCUUGGAGAAACACCCUGCUCCUGCUAACUGGUCAAAUUGAUCGUCGAUCCUUGGCAAUGGGUACUUAUUCUUGGUAGUGGUCUUGUUCAACUGCCUGUAGUCGAUACAAAGCCUAAAGGAUCCAUCCUUCUUUUUCACAAACAAAACUAGUGCACCCCAAGGUGAGGUACUCGGUCAGAUGAAGCCCUUAUCUACCAGCUCUUGCAACUGCUCCUUAAGCUCCUUCAACUCUGCUGGUACCAUCCUGUAGGGAGGGAUAGAGAUCGGUCGGGUUCCAGGCAUCAACUCUAUUUCAAACUCUAUCUCCCUAGCAGGUGGUAAACCUGGCAGCUCGUCUGAGAAGACAUCUAAAAACUCUCUGACCACGGGCACUGAGGCGGGCUCUCUAACAUGACUAUCCAACUCUCUCACAUGAGCUAGAAAACCCUGACAACCCCUCCUGAG